CAGCUUUGAUUUGACCCCUAGCCCGGGAACUUCCAUAUGCCACAGGUGCGGCCCAAAAAGAGAAAAUAAUUUUUCUUAAAUUCACUUUAGGAAAUUAUUGCAUUACCAAUUUAAGUUUAUAAUUGACCAUUUGUAUUCUCCUGUUUUAAUAUUUUCCACAAGUAUAAAUUUAAAACCUUUUUGUACUUCACCUGUCCUGAACAGUGAUAACAGAAUUUUAAUCCCUAGCCCUUUAUAUAAGAAUUACGUGGCAAUUUAUGAAAAACUCAGAUAGACUAUCUAAACUUUUAUUGUUAAACUGACAGGUCAUGAAACCUUGCCUUGGGCUUCUGCAGCUUAAUCUCACAUGGAGAACCAUCAGGUCCGAUAGAGUAUCUUGCAUUUAAAACAUUUUAUCCAACUAGGUUUUCAAGCUGAGGAUCUCUCAAAAGAAGGCUGUAUAAAAUUUAAAAAUAUUGGAUGACAUAGAACUUAGCCUUAAAUAUAUAGUUGGAAAAUUAACCAGUAAAACAUUAUUCCAAAUUUCUACAUAUUCAGCAGGAAAAUAUAAUUUACUGAAGAUCCCAGUAACUCAUCAAGAGCAAAUCACUUUAAAUUUGUUCAAUUACUGCUAAGAAUUUGAAUAUAAUAACUAAAAGUCUCAAAGUAAUUUAAUCUAUCACAGUCAGUGUUGAUAGUACUGGACAUUUUCACUGAUAGCCUCCCAUUUAACAAUUGUGUUUUUAUAGAUAUUUGGGGUAUAUAGCAAUAAAAUAUCUUUUCUGCAGUUUACCAUAAGAACAUCAACAGUACUUAUAUUUGUCAAUUUACUAUAUCAAUCAUAUUUUCUGAUUUACCACAAUUUACAAUAUAGAAUAUUAUAUGGUUUCUAAUUCAAUAACCCCAUAUCUGCUUACUUCAGAAUUUAACAGUAAUUGGGUCCCCUACCAUUGACCAAAGCAUUUGAAAUUUUUCAUUUAUUAUCAUCUACAUUUAUUUCCUUGGAAAACAAGGCAUUUGCUAUUUGCUCUGAAGCUUUAUUGUCUCAUAAAAUUCUGGUCCUAAAAUAAUUCUAAAUACUCAAUGAAUAAAUGUAGGCUUUCACUGGUGUUUCAUGGGGAUGUUUUUCAGCUACCUUUCCAUUCAGAUAUAGCCUGUGUUGUUUUUUGAUUCCCUAAAUGGACAACUGGGAUGCCCUCUACUUGAGCCCAUCCUUGAAUCACUCCUGGAUGCUUCGACUCAUACACAAUGCAACAAUUCAUUUCUGGCAGUGAACUGAAUAGAAUACAUUAAGCACACAUCCUGCAUUCUGAACUGCUUUCUGUUUACUUUGAAUUGUAAUUCAAGGCAUUGAGGUCAGACUCUAAAUCUCUGGACAUUUUAGCUCUUAGUUUUCUCAUAAAUUUUUAGCCCUGCAUGCUCUGUCCUACAGCAGAAAAUGGCCUGAAAUAAGAUGACUUUUCGUAUGUUAUUUGGGUGGAUGAAAAGCAGUAGUGCUGUCCUUUCUCCCUUCCUCAGAAAGGCCUGACCACAUGCCUUCUCACACAUAGAACAGGCCAGGAGUGCAUGCCAAAGCUGUAGCCAGCUUCAGUGAAACCUCAUGACUUCUUCUUGUGCUUUGUUCUCUCCAUUCGAAGGGAAAACAUAGAGAAAAGACAUGGU
rnacentral:lncRNA from 1 species